rnacentral:lncRNA from 1 species
GAAUAUCGAAUCUCAAAUCGAGCAAAAAUAUUCGAUUCAUUUACAACCCUAGCCCCAAGCUCCUACAGCUGCGGUUGGCCGUUUCUUGCCGUUCGCUGGAAGCCGCGAGCCUGUCUUCCCGUCACCGACUGCGCCUGGCGAAUCCCUCCCACCUCUCUCUGGCUCCUUGCCCUGCGCCGACCGCGAGCCUGCUGUCCAAAUGCCUCUCGCCACAGCUGAACCUCCGACCCUACAGCCUUUGCUGAACCUUCAGCCCCCAACAACAGCAACCGCCUCCGGCUCUUCUCUUUAUGCGCCUCCAUAAAUAGUCCGUGUUGGGAAUGAGACGUCAUUUGGAGUUGCUCAAGAUUUGGAGUUGAUCAAGAUUUGGAAUUGCUAUCAAUCCUUUGGGAAUUGAUUUUUUCCAUUCUACGCUGCACUGGUGUUUGUUAAUUUGGUGAUGUAUGCAUUUGCUAGGGCGAUGUUUGUCAAUUUGGUAAUUAAUUCAUUAUUCAUUUGCUAGAGUGAUUUGGAUAAGGUAUUUUAGGGUACCCGAAUCGGGUACCUGAGUCGGGUAUUAGGGUACCCGAUUUCAGAAUCGGGUUUAGGAUCGAAUAGGAAUUUUGACUGAAUUUCAGGUUCUGGUACCCGAAUUUUUCGGGUAGGGCACCCGAACCCGACCCAAUUCCCACCCCUAGCUUCUGCAGUCUACUUUGCUACAUUCACAACCAAAAUUUACUGGCUACUCCUCCAUGUAUUGCUCUCAAGGUGCUGCACAUAAAAGAAUAUGAUGGGAAGGUAUAAAAAAUACAAUGCCUUGUUAAUAGAGAGUUGCUUUACAAUUCAAUUUCCUUCAUUCUUAGUAGAACUCUAAAAUAUGUUCACAUAAAGUGGAUGUCUUUGUUAAUCUCUCUCUCUCUUUGAUAAAUUUUCAUAAAGCUUUCAGAAGAUCCUAGCCCCAUUUCCAGCAUUUAUAUGAGUAAUAUUCUUUUAUCUAUGAAUAUUAACGAUAGAUUUCCUUCAGCUUGCAAAUGUGUGGUCAUAUGAACAUACACUUUGCACAAAUUCAAUAAAUUUUAUAGGAAAAUUCGGUUAGUUUCGGUUGAUUGAUUAAGCGGUUCGGUUAACUGAAUCCCUAAUUGAUUCAAUUUACGGUUAUUGAUUUGUGUAAUUUUGGUUCGAUUAACCCGUAACCGAACCAUUUACCAUCCCUAUAUAAAACUCAAAUCUAAAUCAUGAAUUCAUUCAACAAAUCUUAAUUUAUACUCUCUUCAUCACUCAAAUAACUUCCUAUAUUUUCUUUUUGUGUUGUUCCCCAAAUAACUUCCUAUCUAUUUUGAGACACUAUUCCACCACUAAUAAUACCCUAUUCAUUCUUAUUUUUCAUCACUCUCAAAUAUUAAUUAUAAUACAUUUUCACUAUUUUCAGUACUAGUAUAAUAUUUUUUUUCACAAU